rnacentral:rRNA from 1 species
GAUGAACGCUAGCUACAGGCUUAACACAUGCAAGUCGAGGGGCAGCAUGAACAAAGCUUGCUUUGUUUGAUGGCGACCGGCGCACGGGUGCGUAACACGUAUCCAAUCUGCCCGCGGCUCGGGGAUAGCCCAUCGAAAGAUGGAUUAAUACCCGAUGGCGUGGUCACUCCGCAUGGAGUUUCCACUAAAGGUUUUCCGGCCGCGGAUGAGGACGCGUAUGAUUAGGUAGUAGGCGGGGUAACGGCCCACCUAGCCUUCGAUCAUUAGGGGUUCUGAGAGGAAGGUCCCCCACACUGGAACUGAGACACGGUCCAGACUCCUACGGGAGGCAGCAGUGAGGAAUAUUGGUCAAUGGGCGAGAGCCUGAGCCAGCCAAGUAGCGUGAAGGAAGACUGCCCUAUGGGUUGUAAACUUCUUUUGUUCGGGAAUAAAGUGCAGUACGCGUACUGUUUUGUAUGUACCGUUCGAAUAAGCAUCGGCUAAUUCCGUGCCAGCAGCCGCGGUAAUAC